GGGUCUUUAGCUCAGUUGGUUAGAGCGCGCCCCUGAUAAGGACGAGGUCGAUGGUCCGAGCCCAUCAAGACCCACCA
rnacentral:tRNA from 2 species